UGGGGAAUUUUUCGCAAUGGGCGCAAGCCUGACGAAGCAACGCCGCGUGGAGGAUGAAGGUCUUCGGAUUGUAAACUCCUGUCGACCGGGACGAAUGCACUCGACCUAAUACGUCGAGCUGUUGACGGUACCGGUGGAGGAAGCCACGGCUAACUCUGUGCCAGCAGCCGCGGUAAUACAGAGGUGGCAAGCGUUGUUCGGAAUUACUGGGCGUAAAGGGCGCGUAGGCGGCCUUGUAAGUCUCGUGUGAAAGCCCUCGGCUUAACUGAGGAUCUGCACGGGAUACUGUAAGGCUCGAGUUCGGGAGAGGAAAGCGGAAUUCCGGGUGUAGCGGUGAAAUGCGUAGAUAUCCGGAGGAACACCAGUGGCGAAGGCGGCUUUCUGGACCGACACUGACGCUGAGGCGCGAAAGCUAGGGGAGCAAACGGGAUUAGAUACCCCAGUAGUCCCUGAGCGGGCUGGCAAGGCGCAU
rnacentral:rRNA from 1 species